GGAAUGGUGAGAUACAAACAAAGCAAACUGAAGCUGGGUAGUGGAGGUUAAAACACUAUCCUACCUACUUUUGCCCAUAAGACAUUCAAAACAAAGCAAAACAAACAAAACGGAAGAGCACAAGU